CCUAAAGCAAAGAAAAGCAAAACCGUUCCCAUCACCAAUUUAAUCCAAGGAAAUAAUCCACACUGUAAAUUUACACUCAACAUUGAUGUAAAAUACAGGGUGUUUCUACAAUAGAAAAACAACACCUGCAAAUAUGGUCAUAUCUAUCAGUCACAUUACAGUAUGUGAUCACAUGAAAGAACACCAGUGUCUCUAUCUUCAUUGUCCCUCUCAGGACCUUUUCAUUCUUACAAUGAGGUGACUAAAAACUGACCCUACUUCUAACAGCUGUGGGCCUAAAGAUGAGUAGUCUUAAAAAAAUUAAUUCAAGUUUUGCAUGAAUUUGGACUAAUGAUACUUAACACCUAUGUACAUGAAUGAAGGAUAUACACAUUUAGAUUUAGCAAGCAAAUUCAUUAGAAAACUGCUAGCCAGUAAGGAAAACUCUUCAUUGCUAUCCAUUUAAACACUUUUACCUUAAAAAUGUACAUUUAAAAAAAAUUAUAAAGAGGAGAUACUGAGAAAUGCAACCUGAGUUUAAAAUCAUCUGGAAAACUGGUUUAUUAAAGCUUCUAAUUUCUUGACACACAAGCCUUGGGAAACAUUUAGUUUUAAAACAAAAACCAAAAUAAUGCAAUUAACUGUAAAAAAAAAACAAAAACUAAGAGGAAAAGACCAAGGAUACUGUCAUUAUUUUAUACUUACAAAAACUGGCUACAGAUGAGGCUUUUUAUUGCAACA